GAAAAUGGAAACCUGUUCAACUAGUCUUUCUGGGAGCGGAAGCUAAUUGGCCAAGCAGAAAUAAAUGAUGAUGUUGCUCUUCGGGAUCUAAAGAAGACCUCUCCAAAAUGUGGGGUCAGCAUAACUGAACAUUUCAUCAUGAGAUCUCAUCUCCUGCUCCAUUUCCUCCAGGACUGGGCUGGCCUCGCUGGCUCACUCUGCUUUCUGCUCUGUACUUCCAAACGCAGGACACUUCAAACCCCCUGUAAUGGCUGUCUUCCUCUGACUGCAAGCCACAUAAGAACUCAGACCACACUUGUUGUCUUCACACUGGAUCUCCAAUGCCUUACUACCCAGUAAAUGCUUGUUGAUUAAGUAUUGUCUGAGGGAACUGUUAUUCCAGGUAGAGGGAAGACGAGAGCAGAAUGGUACGGAAGUGUCUGGCAUGUGCGAUGGGUUAUUUAUUACAAAAAUCAAUUUAUUAUUAAAAAUCGAUGUUUUCUUAAAGUAAACGCUUCUCUCUUUCAUCUGUAGU